rnacentral:sRNA from 1 species
AUUCAUAGUUUUUGCGCGCGAGUUGAUGAGUCUGUUAAUUGGGAUCAUGCGAAUACCCCAGAGCAGACCAUGUGUUUACAUCACAAGCACGUAGGAUCGGGAGUUGGGGUGAAGGAGGCUGCUUCCCCCUCCCCACUUUUUUUGAAGCUGGCAUUUUUCUUAACUUUAUAGGAUAAAUAGAAAUAUCAGGGAUUGCCCCCCCCCCACCCCUCUACUUUUGUAUAGCAUGCAAUAAAUGAAACUGCAAAUAAGGAAUUCUAAUUGAAUUGAAGUUAAAGUUAGGGUUUUUCAUGAAUUUGAGAAUUCACCCUUUUUUAAUUGCUUGUCAAGAUGAUUUUGAUUAAGCUGCCUACACACAUUCAAAAACAAAACUUGUUUGUAUACCCUUUCAUAUUUCAAAUGGUUGGAAAUUUUUAAAAGGUUCUUUCAGUUUAUUUUGCAUCUUAAUAUAACAAAUACAUGUACAAUUAAAAAAACCGACUAUUUACUCUUCACCUUUCAACCUUACAUAAACUUAUAUGAUAUGUGUACAUUCCUAAAAAAUGAAUUAAUAAAAUAAAUGAAUUUCAAGUGAUAUAUAUGUACGUGUUCUUAAUCGAGGAAAAGACUGGCAUUUCGUCUUAAGUUUGCACGUUCCGUUUAUAAAUUUAUGAUCAGCAGCGAAAAUUAAAAUUCAUUUCUGAUAAGAUAUCCUAAUUGAUACAUGCAUGCUUCUAUUGAAUAAUUGUGUUUAGUCAGGCAAGCUUUUUGGAAAGCUAUUACUUGUAAUAAUAACAGAUAUGGCCCGAAUUCUGAAGUUUCUUUAAGUAAGAAAAAAUAAGGUCAUAAAAUGCCAAGAUUAAAGAUAUCACAUGGAAGAACCUAGCUUUCCUUACAAUUAUACCACCUUCCUGGAUAAUUCUGGAAAGCUCAUUAAAAAAAGGAUAAUUUUUAAAAGGAAAUUUUAAAUCUUGAUUGAAACGACAUUCAAUCGGGAAAAUUUUACGUCGAAGCACAAAUAAAGAUAUUUUCUAAAUGGUCAAUUUAGCUCAGGUCUAUCAUACGAAGAUAUCCGGGCAAAGAAACGACACCCACGCGGAAAAAUUCAGCAAAAUAACCCAGUUGAUCACGGACCUUUCUUUGCGUCCACUUUUAUAAAAAUUGCUACCACGCUAGCUCACCUAUUUUUUUUUAAAUCAAUUUUUUGAUGGAAUUGCUGUGAAUAUAGUAGAUGAAAACGAAAUAGUUGUUAGGGAUUAGUUUUAUAAAAAUUUUGCUAAUGAAAGACAUGGCUUUGAGACUGAAAAUAUCACCGACUUUUAAACUAUGUUUAUGUAUACAAUGCAUCCACUGAAGAUAUACGGUAUUAUGGUAAAAAAUGUUCCCAAAUUUAGGCCAUAUGUCCAUGUAAUCAAAUUAAGAUAACGUUUUAAGCAAUUAUCCUUUUAUGAGUAAACUUGUGAACAAACUGUUUUAAUAAAACAAUUAUUAUCUAGAGAAAAAAAUAUUGAGGAAUUUUUAAAAGGAUUACGGUUGAUUUCGCCCCUUACCCAGAUCUGUCCGAUGGUGAAAAUGGUAUACUUUUAACAAUAUUAUUGGGGUCGACAUUAUUAACGUAUUAGAUAUCUAAAAAAAUUGUAAAAAGCAAUAUUCGCAAACGUGCAUGUACAAUUUUUACCAAAAGAAAUCUUUUUAAAAUUUGUUUCGAUACAUGAAAGGAUGCAAUUAAUUUAAUAGCGAUUCAAUCCAAGCACACGAAAGGCAAAGCCAAAUUACACUUCCAUGACGCAUGCGCAUUUUUGGAGAAAUCAAACAAAUUUCUUUUUUUCUUCGAAAAUAUUUACAUUUUUGUAAAAACCAACAUCAUUCUCCCGAUGUAUAAUGCUGAUAGCUUGUAACUUUUGGGGGCAGUUAUUUUACAAAGAAUAUACUGAUAAAAAUAUCGGGCCAAAGAACUUUAAGAGGGUUGUAUUAUAAUGUGCAUUUCUAGUGUACUUAUUUCUGAGAAAAAAUAGCCCCGUGAAAAGAUAUAGGCCUACCAAGAAAAUACAUAAAUUUCUUAGCUGAGUAGAAUGGAAUUAUUCUUUAUUUCUUCUAAUAAUUUACGGUAUAUAUAAUAGGUGCAUGUAAUUAGUUAACCUCCAAGCCUCCUUAGUCCCAGUACAAUGUCUUUCUAGACAACAAACUGUGCAUUGCUGACAAAGUAUUAAAAUUUAAAAAAACAACAACAACUUUUCCAGACUUGUUUGCGUCUCGUACACCUUGUUAUACAUGUGUGUGACCAUUACGUAGGUGUCUGCAUUCAACUUGACAAACUAAACCAAUUAAUUAUUCACAGUUUGGAAUCCAUUUGAGAAUAUUGGAGAAAAAAAUGCACGUAUACCUAAACAAUUUCAUUACCCUAAUUAGUAAGACAUAUUUUACAUAUCUAUUCGUUUAGUGCUUUAGGCACCAUCAAUUGUAACACAGGAUCGUCCUAAUGAUUUGUUCUAAAAUACAAGCUCUAAUUUGUGAUUAAACAAAAAAAUUAUUUUUUGAACAUUAAGUUAUACUUCAUCAGUAACCGCCUUCGACGCGAAUACGUAUUUUCAACCUGUAUCGAGCUUUACGCCACUUUCAUAAAGCCUAGUAUAUAUGGGACUGAACAUCGAUAGGUAGGACGUAUGAGACCUCGAAAUAAUACGACCUUUCAAAAUUAAAGAUAAUUUUAAGCUUUUUCUUAUUAAUGUUUUUUUUUAAUCUACAUGUUUUACAGCGUAGAGCAAAAAGACGUUGCGUUCGUUAUUUGCCUGCAAGUUUUGAUUCAAAAUGCGCUUGAAUUUUAUAAUUUAUGUCUUUCUUAUCAUAUUUUUAAAGUAUUCUAUGAUCAAAAAUCCUCUCCCCCGACUGUGUAAGUACCGAAAAUAAAUACAAUGUUUUACAUUUUCCCAAUGUGGCCUAAUUGGCUUUGCCCAAGGGACUAAAGCCCUGACCCAGGGACCAUGAAUUUCAUAACUUUGGUAGAGGGCUUCACGGACAUCACGGUCGUGCAUUUAGUUUUAUCUUAUGUAUUUAAGAAAGUAGAG